rnacentral:rRNA from 1 species
AUGUCCUGGAAUGUCAGAGGGCUGAACUCUCCAGCGAGGAGAGUUGUUGUGUGUGAACUUGCCGCUGCUCACAAAACCCCAAUUCUUUGCAUACAGGAGACAAAACUGGAGCUGUGGUCGCCUAGCGUCAUGCGCGAACUGGGAGGCAGCCGCUUGGAAGGUUGCGCGGUCCUGCCGGCAGUUGGAACAAGAGGAGGUGUGGCGAUCCUCUGGGACAAGAGCGUCGUGCAGCUCGACACUCAGCCUGUGGGCGUCUUCUCGAUCACAGCCAAGGUCACCCUACUGCAGUGUUCAUCUUCAUUCUGGCUAACAACUGUGUAUGGUCCGGUCGACGAUGGGCUCAAGGAAUCCUUCCUGGCUGAGCUGAUCCAUUUUGCACCUCCACUUGGUGAGCCAUGGAUGAUUGCAGGCGACUUCAACAUCAUAUAUGAAGCAAGGGACAAAAGCAAUCUCAACCUCAACCGGCGCAUCAGGGCAUGUUCAGAAGGGCGAUUGACACGGCCGGCCUGA